UUUCGGAGAAUUAUGCAUGCAUACGACCUUCACCCAGAACGUUACGACCUUCACCCAGCAAGUAUGUGAGGCUAUUUCCGGUUUUGCUGUCUGCUGUUUAUACUCGUAGCAUUCUUCAAGCAUGGGAGCUCUUACAAAUAAAAAUGAUAAUCGAAUUUGCUGUGUACCUCAAUGUACAGUUAAGGCCUAUAAAUGUCCAACAUUGUCCUUCCAUGAAAUUUCAAAGGAUGAGCAAAUGAAGAAGCUUUGGCUUGUAAGAAUUUGAAGAGACGAAGGACCCCUCUUUCGGAUAGGAAGGUGGACAAAGGUGUGUAGCAGGCACUUUGUGCCAGAAGAUUUUCGCCUUUUACCCUUAAAAGGAAAGCAAAGGAGACUAAAGCCAGAUGCUGUACCAAGCUUGUUUACAUUAAACAACUUUCAGCUUGGGAAAGAGAGAAAGCAGCUGGCAGUUAGCCAUCCCCUGUCACUAGCAAAUAUCAACACCAAUCAGAGCAAAAAUGGGGAUGCUAAGCCCACAACAGAGCCUGCAAUGGCAGAGACAGAGCCGGCAACAGCAGCUGCAGAGUCUGUAACAGCAGACAACCCUUCUGUUGAAGAGCAGCUCUCCUUGGCAAAAGAAGAGAAUAAAGUAAAAAAGUUCUUCAAGAGAGGAUACAACAAUUAGAACAUCAUUUGCAAAUGGAGAGCAGCAGAAAAAUCGAAAACUUUGGGUUAGAACGUUUUUCACAAGAUGAUGGAAAAAUAGAGUUUUAUACCGGAUUUCCAAAUUAUAACACAUUAAAAAUAUUUGACUGCAGCCUUGUGUCCCUUUCUAUCUGAAAAGAUUCUUGCUGAGUGAUCUGCAAAAAAAAAAAAAAUUAAACUCCAUAAAGAAUAAUUGCACAUGUGGAUCUUGGGCUAUACCUACCACUUUAAAAGAGAAUAUACAAUAGUAAUUAAAAAGAAAAAAAUUCUUUUAAAGCAGGCACACAUUCUCCAUUGUUUAUGACACCACCCUUACCCAUAUAAAUGCUAAUGAUGAUCCUACAAAAUUAUUGUUUAAUAUCAACAUGCAACUUUUUAAAUCCAUGAGUCACAUAAAAAGGACAGCCAAAACUGUGCUCUAGUGCAAAAGGGUAUUUGGUUUGUUGCCAAAACUUUCCCUCAAAAGGGUUUCAUCAUAAACUGUAUCUAUGAGUAUAUAAAAGAAAAUGUGAUAAAUAAAGAUGACUGUACACAUGUUGAAUGUACUUUCCACUUUUAAAAUAAAGUGUAUCUAAUAAUAAAUAAUACAUGACAAUUUGGAAAACAAACUUUGAGUGAGUUGAAAAGGUCCUUCUUUUCUUCUGAUAAAGAAGGAAUUUCUCCUGACAUGACAAUCUGAUUCAGAAAAUGCCUCUGAUUCAUUUAUAUUUAUGACAAAGUUAUCGUGCAGUUUCUGUUGAUGAGCCCUUCCCCUUCGAUAUUUUCCAUAUUUUGUUAAUACCAUGGAAGUCUGCUUCUUGCUUAAGGCAAAUGGAAAUAAUGCUGUGGACUACAAUGUUGUAAUAAUCAUGACAACAUUAAAUUUUAAAAGAUGUUAUUUAUUACUUGAUGAACAAGAAUAAUUUGUCUUGAAAGCACAGUGGUAUCCACUUGAUAUUUACUGCUCAUUCUACUCCAAAUGGAACAAUCUGCUCUAAAACCAUUUCUUGUGGAAUAUGCAAAUAAAGAAAUUUAUCUUUUGCACGCCCUUUCAGGAAUAAAUAAAUGUUGAAUGUCUCUUUUUU